rnacentral:lncRNA from 1 species
UUGGAUGACCUUUGAAUAUCUUAUCAGAUUGGGCCUGACUGUUGGGUUUCUAUUUUAUUGGCCCAUCCUGUUCAAAUUCAAGUCCUUUAUCAGAUUGGGCUUAUUGCUCUGGGUAUCCAUUAUUCAGCCCUCCCUUAUUCCACUUCGUAUGUUAAAAGUGGGUAUGAUUCACUUAUUUCCUAUCCUUGGGCCUUUAUUGAAUUCUAAAUAUCAUGAAUCAUAUAUAGUUUUCCAUUAAACAUCCUGUUUAACUAAAAAACUAGGGGGUAAUGUUGGGUCAUGAUAUUUCUCCUAUUUUGGGCCGGGUAUAUUGGGCCCAUUUAUCAGUUUAAUAUGUUGGGCUUUUAUAAUUAAGCCAUGGGGCUCUUUGAGCCCAUUUAUUGUGUCAACUUUAUUUAAUCCUAUUGGACCGG